UAUAGCUCAUUAUUUGUUCACUUUGUUACAGCAAUUUUUCAUUUUCUUGAAAAAGCUUUUAAAUAAUUUUAAGGUUGUCAUAAGGAUAGUGUAUUAAUUUACGGGGAAUACCAGAAUGAUUUUGUAUUAUUUCAACAAAAAAUUUAACAUUUAUUUCACCAAAACUACUUAAGGACUGCGUCGUAUAAAAUUGUCCGUUACAUUUUUUUCCAUAUCGUGCAAUUAAAAUUUUUAAAUAAACAAAUUUUUAUCUUAGUAGCUCUGAAAUAAAUGCCAAAAAAUAUUAUGCAUUCGUUAGAGUCAAUAAAAAUUUAUUUAACGCGAAAAUGGCAAGCGAAGUGGAAGUGCGCGAAAAAAUUAUUAAAUUUUUUCAAAAGAAACCGCAGUGGUCGUUUAAGAAAAUUGCCAAAAAGGUAGGGGCUAACCCUAAAACCAUUUCUCGCGUUAUUAAACACUUUAAGGAAAAUGUGCGUAUUGACAGGAAGAAAGGUUCUGGUAAAAAGACGGGGCCACAUGAUAGGGAGCAGGCGAAGAACGUUGUUACCAUUCUCAAGAAAGACCCAAGCAUUUCGGGCAGCAAAUUGGCGAGGAAGACUGGCUGCUCAGAAUCUUUCGUACGCAGGAGGAAGAAAGAAGCUGGGCUGAAGACGUACAAGGUACAGAAAGUUUCGGAUAGAAACGCCGUCAAGAACGAAACCGCAAAACAACGAGCUAAAAAGCUGAGGAAAGAUUUUGUCAAUAAAUUCGAAUGUUGCAUAAUGGAUGACGAGACCUACGUUUUAGCGGACUUUUCUCAGCAACCUGGACAAGAUUUUUUAUUUUUUAUUUUUUUUUUUCGAGGAAAUUUUGCUGAAAAAUUCAAAGCCAAAAAGGUGACAAAAUUUCAAAAGAAAUUUCUUGUGGCAAAAGGAGCAGCUCAUUCGUUUCAUCGGGUAAAAUUAACAGCGAAAUAUAUGUGAAGGAAUGUUUACAAAAGAGAUUGCUCCCAUUUUUAAGCCAACAUGAAGUGUCCACGUUUUUUUCGCCUGACCUCGCUUCAUGUCACUAUAGCAAAACAGCCUUAGAGUGGUUCCAAUGGAAUGGAGUGAUUUAUGUACCAAGAGAAGCAAAUCCACCUAACUGUCCAGAACUAAGGCCGAUUGAGAGAUACUGGGCUUUAGUAAAAAGGGAGAUGAAGGCAACAAAAAAAGUGACCAAAGACCUUCAAAAUUUUAAAAGAAAUUGGUCUUCAGCAGCUAUGAGAGUAUUGGACACUACCAUAAAAGCACUAAUGGACGGGGUUCCGGAAAAAUAAAAAUAUUUAUUAAUAAAUUUGAAAUAAAUGUUCUUAAUAAAAUAUUUUAGUUUAUAAAAAUCGGACAACUGGUUUAAAAGAUUUUUUAAUUUUUGUAACGGACAAUUUUAUUCCACGCAGUCCUUAUGUAUUAUGCCUAUUAACGAAUGACGGUAUACGCAACAUCUUUAUAAUACAGUUUUGUAGAUACUUCAAAAUAUUUCAUUCGCUUUUAAUUUUGCCAAUUUAGGAGAACUUCCAUUUUAUUCUUAUAGAUAUUUUUUGUAAUAGUAAACAAAUCGUAAAAACUUAAAAUUCAUUCAGAUACCAAUAAUGUUAUCGGAAUGAAACGAAUAGAACCGUUGAAAAGUGCUGUAUCGCACAUCUAAAAUAGGAGCCACAAGCAUCAAAUAUCAACUAUAUUCUUUGCCAAACUGUACUUAAUGAAAUACAGAGAGUUUUUUCUUAUAUUUUAAAGAAAUUAAGUAAACGUGAAAUAAAUCAAUUUAAAGCCUUGGUCUAGACCCGUAUCCUUAAUAUAAUGAUUUCCAGCCAUCUGAUGAACGUAUUCAUGUAUUUAAGCUCGUCUCUUUAGUUUGAUCAUUUUAAAUGAGGGCAAUCUCAGUGAGGAUCGUGGGCAACUCAAAGAUAUUCCCACGCUAAAGGGAGAACCAGAAACUUUGUUUACUUUCAUCAGUAGAGUUGACUAUAUUUUUGGCUUUACCAAACUAAUAACCUACGUCAACAGCGCAUUCUAUUCGGAACUGUCGAACGAAACCUGAAUGGUCUUGUAACCAGAUCCUAACAAACAUCGAAAAUUGGCCAACCCUGAAGCUUAGAUUGAUUGCGGAGUACAAACCCCAGACACCAACUACAAAUUGUUGGAGAACUUCCGCAAACCCUUUACAAGGAGAGUCUGCGAGCAUUCUGCGAGGAAGCUGAGAGACGACGACAACUGCUGGUAUCAAAACUGCACCUAGAAGGUAAUCAGUUCUAGAAACAGCUGUGGACUCUUUUACAAAUUCAAUUUUUAAAGGCCUGCAGAACCUGGUAGAAGCUGGGCGCGGAUUUUGCCACAUAAUUUUGCUUCCACAAAUCAACCUGAUUGGAACAAUACAGGUGAUGAAAACUGAUGAAUCAUUUGCACCCGGAUUAUGGUACGCUUGCUUAUAUGAGCUGUGUCCAGAGCUUCCAUCGAAUCCCCACUUAGUGUACAAGCAUAAAUUCGUCAUUUCCUCAUCGUUCAAUGUUUUAAUUACGUUAUUUUGGGCUAAAGUUAUACGCUCAGUGGUAUGGUCUAAAAGGGCUUGCAAGCUUACUUGUGCUGAAAUCUCGCAAAAAUGCAUGCUCUCACGUCUAGGAUAACAAUCUUUUUUUGCUGAUUGGACAUAUGAAUAGCAAGGAAACCUAUCUGGAGCAGAUUGCCUUAUAACAUUGUACUGUUGUCGAGAUAACUUUGCUUCCACCAAAACAAAUAAAGCGUCUUCUUUGGACAUUUGCUGUGAUAGUGAUGAUUUGGCAAUACUUUUAUGAAAUUUUUCGCUCUCGAUGGUGAACUUGCAACCUCUUUCACUAACUUUGACGCUUCCACUUGCCCUGAAGCUCUAAAACUCAUUUGUGCAGCAUAAGCUAAUAAAGGCAAAGGCAACUAUCACUUAAAAAUUUACUUUUUUUUGCUUCGUUUUCUCAUUUGAUUCUUCAAAUGAAAGUUCUUUGCGGCCACGUUUCAUUCCUUGUGAAUGGGUGAAACCUAUCAAAAAAUCCAGCUAACUUUGGUUUAUUCUAAGGAAACGCUCUUCAUUCCUAUUGGCUCUGCUCCAACGAAUUUUAAAUUGACUAAUAAAGGUUUUUAUCCUGUCAUCAAACUCUUUUAUAAAUUCAUCAGAUGGCUCAAUACGCUUUUUCAAUUGCUCUUUUAAAAAUUCAAAUUUUUCAUUAAAUUUAUCACAGCCAGAGUUUUUCAUUAUGUCAUAAAGAUUUUGACGAGGAACCCAAAUUACAUUAGAACUGGUUCCUAUAAGGAAGAUAAUAAUAUUUUUAUCCUCUUUAAAUGUAGUCAAUGUCGGUAUCGCUUUUACCAUGUUAGUUAAAUAUUCAUCACUAUUGUUAUUUCUCUCGACUGCACAUGACAUACAAACAUUAGUAAUAAAAAUUGCGCGGGAAAAAACAAUGUCGGUUAUCAUGAUUUUACAUAUACCCUAAACCUUAGAUAAGAACCUUAUGCCAUAUUAAUUAAUUAUUACAAAAUGUAAGAAAUCAAAAUUUUAUUUCAAAAAUGUAUGUGAUGAUGUUUAUUAUUAUA